rnacentral:lncRNA from 1 species
GUGUGUAGAGUACUACAAGGGAUUGCUGGGCUCCUCAAAUCAUUCUCAUAUGAAUCUAACGUCAUGCAUUGAAUCGGUUCACCCAUUCAGAUGCCUUUCAGCGUGAUUCUUUAGACCGAAUAUUCACUGCAGCAGAUGUAAAAGCUGAAUUUUUUGCUUUGCCUUCAGAUAAAGUUCCAGGGCCAGAUGGGUAUACAAGUGAAUU